GUGUCAGCCGCCGCGGUAAUACAGAGGGCGCGAGCGUUGUCCGGAAUCACUGGGCGUAAAGGGCGCGUAGGUGGCACUAUAAGGCCGUGGUGAAAGUCUGGGGCUCAACCCCAGAUCUGCCGCGGCGACUGUAGAGCUUGGGCACCGUAGAGGCAGAUGGAAUUCCGGGUGUAGCGGUGGAAUGCGUAGAGAUCCGGAAGAACACCGGUGGCGAAGGCGGUCUGCUGGGCGGUGGGGGCGCAAGCUCCCAAUAGCCGACACUGAGGCGCGACAGCGUGGGGAGCAAACAGGAUUAGAAACCCUCGUAGUCC
rnacentral:rRNA from 1 species